GACACUUUCUCUUUAGGCUUGUUUCAGAAAAAGUAUGCACCUUUACAGUCUGCUCUACUGCUCUGCCCAGUCAGGAGAGUGACUCUGCAGUGAAGUAUGGUCCAGGUGGUCCUGGACCAGUCCUUUUACCUUUGAAGCUUCAAUUACAUAACCGAGAGAGAUAAUUAUGCUGCUGGCUGUGGUGGUUGCAGACACCCCUUGCCUCAGUUUUAAGGCUGCUCUCAAACUCCUGAACUCACAUCCUUCUGUGUCACCUUCCUGAGUGCUGAGAUCACUGGUGUGUGUCAUGAUGCCUGGCUCAUUAAAGAACAGUGGAGAAUGACAUUUAGCUCGUUAAAAUGUCAAUUGUUUUUAUUUAGAUGGUGCUGUGUGAGGUUUUGAUUGUGUAGAAGAUCCAUGGAAUUGGCAUCUGCCAGCUCAACUGAUGGA